AGCAGCCGCGGUAAUUCCAGCUCCAAUAGCGUAUAUUAAAGUUGUUGCAGUUAAAAGCUCGUAGUCGAAUUUCGGGAUCAGUAGGUCGGUCAUGCCUCUAGUAUGUACUGGUCUCACUGGUUCCUCCUUCCUGAUGAACCGUAAUGCCAUUAAUUUGGUGUUGCGGGGAAACUGGACUGUUACUUUGAAAAAUUGAGUGUUUAAAGCAGGCUAACGCUUGAAUACAUUAGCAUGGAAUAAUGAAAUAGGACGUUCGAUCCUAUUUUGUUGGUUUCUAGGAUUGACGUAAUGAUUAAUAGGGAUAGUUGGGGGCAUUAGUAUUCAAUUGUCAGAGGUGAAAUUCUUGGAUUUAUUGAAGACUAACUACUGCGAAAGCAUUUGCCAAGGAUGUUUUCAUUAACCAA
rnacentral:rRNA from 1 species